rnacentral:rRNA from 1 species
CCUACGGAGGGCAGCAGUGGGGAAUAUUGGACAAUGGGCGAAAGCCUGAUCCAGCCAUGCCGCGUGUGUGAAGAAGGCCUUCGGGUUGUAAAGCACUUUCAGUGGGGAAGAAAGCCUUGGGGCUAAUACCCUCGAGGAAGGACAUCACCCACAGAAGAAGCACCGGCUAACUCCGUGCCAGCAGCCGCGGUAAUACGGAGGGUGCGAGCGUUAAUCGGAAUUACUGGGCGUAAAGCGCGCGUAGGCGGUCUGAUAAGCCGGUUGUGAAAGCCCCGGGCUCAACCUGGGAACGGCAUCCGGAACUGUCAGGCUAGAGUGCAGGAGAGGAAGGUAGAAUUCCCGGUGUAGCGGUGAAAUGCGUAGAGAUCGGGAGGAAUACCAGUGGCGAAGGCGGCCUUCUGGACUGACACUGACGCUGAGGUGCGAAAGCGUGGGUAGCAAACAGGAUUAGAUACCCGUGUAGUC